rnacentral:rRNA from 1 species
UUAGAUUCCUGUACCACGCAUUAUCAGAACUGUAGGGACGCAUGUGGAAAGCACGAGCCGGGAAUGGAAAAACCGGUACAAGCGGGGUAGGUGUACGAUAGGCAAAUCCGUUGUAUAAUCCGAAGACGUGAUGUGGAGCGAAAUAAAGUAGUGAAGCGUGUGAGCCAUGUGCCGAGAAAAGCUGCUAUUGUGUAAUGCGUGCCCGUACCGUAAACCGACACAGGUGGAUGAGGAGAGAAUCCUAAGGCCGGCGGAAGAAGCAUUGUUAAGGAAUUCGGCAAAAUGACCCCGUAACUUCGGGAGAAGGGGUGCCUGCGAGAGCAGGCCGCAGAGAAUAGGCUCAAGCAACUGUUUAGCAAAAACACAGGUCUAUGCGAAACCGAAAGGUGAAGUAUAUGGGCUGACGCCUGCCCGGUGCUGGAAGGUUAAGAGGAGAGGUUAGCGUAAGCGAAGCUUUGAAUUUAAGCCCCAGUAAACGGCGGCCGUAACUAUAACGGUCCUA